rnacentral:lncRNA from 1 species
AACAACAAUCCGGACCCACAAAACUCACAACAACGCAUCAUGACUAUAACAACACAACUAAACGUCCCAGAAAUACAAAACUCACAACAACGCAUCAU